rnacentral:rRNA from 1 species
AUUGAACGCUGGCGGCAUGCCUUACACAUGCAAGUCGAACGGCAGCACGGGGGCAACCCUGGUGGCGAGUGGCGAACGGGUGAGUAAUGCAUCGGAACGUGCCCAGUAGUGGGGGAUAACCAGUCGAAAGACUGGCUAAUACCGCAUACGACCCAAGGGUGAAAGCGGGGGACCGUAAGGCCUCGCGCUAUUGGAGCGGCCGAUGUCUGAUUAGCUAGUUGGCGGGGUAAGAGCCCACCAAGGCGACGAUCAGUAGCUGGUCUGAGAGGACGACCAGCCACACUGGGACUGAGACACGGCCCAGACUCCUACGGGAGGCAGCAGUGGGGAAUUUUGGACAAUGGGCGCAAGCCUGAUCCAGCCAUGCCGCGUGCGGGAAGAAGGCCUUCGGGUUGUAAACCGCUUUUGGCAGGAAUGAAACGGCGCAAGCCAAUACCUUGCGCUAAUGACGGUACCUGCAGAAUAAGCACCGGCUAACUACGUGCCAGCAGCAGCCGCGGUAACAC